GACGUAGGGCGCGAGCGUGUCCGGAUUUAUUGGGCGUAAAGAGCUCCGUAGGCGGCUUGUCGCGUCGUCCGUGAAAACCUCGCGGCGUCAACUGCAGGCUGGCGGUCGAUACGGGCAGGCUGGAGUUCGGUAGGGGAGACUGGAAUUCCUGGUGUAGCGGUGAAAUGCGCAGAUAUCAGGAGGAACACCGGUGGCGGAAAGCGGCUCUCUGG
rnacentral:rRNA from 1 species